CGCGUAGGCGGGAUGGCAAGUCGGUCGUGAAAUCCUUCGGCUCAACCGAAGAACGUCGGCCGAUACUGCCGUUCUUGAGGGAUGCAGAGGAGACUGGAAUUCCCGGUGUAGCGGUGAAAUGUGUAGAGAUCGGGAGGAACACCGGUGGCGAAGGCGGGUCUCUGGGCAUCUCCUGACGCUGAGGCGCGAAAGCGUGGGGAGCAAACGGGAUUAGAUACCCUGGUAGUCCACGCCAUAAACGAUGACGACUAGGUGUGGGGUGGUUCAGUCCACUCCGUGCCGCAGCUAACGCAUUAAGUCGUCCGCCUGGGGAGUACGGCCGCAAGGUUGAA
rnacentral:rRNA from 1 species